rnacentral:lncRNA from 1 species
CCCCAAGGUACCAGUUAUCCAGCAUUUCUGUCCUGUGGGUUAAGGUCACUGGGAAGAGCUCUCAGAUGAUGCAAUUGUAGACCAGACCAUGCAUAUAUUAAAAUAGUGAGGUCUGAGGAAUAGGGGCAAAAUGGAGUUAGCAUCCUCUGCCUCCAUGGACUGGUCAGCUUAAACUGUCAGGCACAGGAAUAACUGGAUUGAAUGAGUAUUUAAACAUGCCAUAAUGACAACCUUAUCUCAACGGAAGAAGAACGCCUCCUGGGGAACAGGGGUGGCUCUUUAAGACUGGCAGACAGUGGUUAAUCCACAGGCAGAAUCAAGAUAAGAUCUGGUCUCCGCUUGGCUUCAACUAUCCCCUUAGCAUGUGAUCACUGCAUCCUCCAUGUGCAGUGCAUUGUGGGAGAGAGAGAAGCAAGCAUGCAUCCAUGAAGGAGUGUGGCAUGUGCUCAACAAGGUCAGAGCUGAAACAAAACAAAACACCCAACCAGGAAUCUCUGUGUGUGCUGCUCUACAAUCCCACUCCGUCCCACACCAGCCUAUGACAUUUCUGUGUAUCCUCUGCUACUACACUCCAGACGUCCCUUGAAACUGUUUCUCACCA